rnacentral:rRNA from 1 species
AUUGAACGCUGGCGGCAGGCUUAACACAUGCAAGUCGAACGAGUGGCGGACGGGUGAGUAAUGCCUGGGAAUCUGGCCUAUGGAGGGGGAUAACGACGGGAAACUGUAGCUAAUACCGCAUACCAUCGGAUGUGCCCAAAUGGGAUUAGUUAGUGGGUGGGGUAAUGGCCCACCAAGCCGACGAUACCUAGCUGGUCUGAGAGGAUGACCAGCCACACCGGGACUGAUACACGGCCCGGACUCCUACGGGAGGCAGCAGUGGGGAAUAUUGCGCAAUGGGGGCAACCCUGACGCAGCCAUGCCGCGUGAAUGAAGAAGGCCUUCGGGUUGUAAAGUUCUUUCGGAGAGGAGGCGUUAAUCGCAGAAGAAGCACCGGCUAACUCCGUGCCAGCAGCCGCGGUAAUAC